rnacentral:rRNA from 1 species
CACGUAGGGUGCGAGCGUUGUCCGGAAUUAUUGGGCGUAAAGAGCUCGUAGGCGGUGUGUCGCGUCGGCCGUGAAAACUUGCAGCUUAACUGUGGGCGUGCGGUCGAUACGGGCAUCACUGGAGUUCGGCAGGGGAGACUGGAAUUCCUGGUGUAGCGGUGAAAUGCGCAGAUAUCAGGAGGAACACCGGUGGCGAAGGCGGGUCUCUGGGCCGAUACUGACGCUGAGGAGCGAAAGCGUGCGGAGCGAACAGG